rnacentral:tRNA from 1 species
UUUAACGUGGUGUCAUAGCACGUAACAUUUUGGUUGUUUUAGUGGAUAGCUUCCCGUUAUUU